rnacentral:misc_RNA from 1 species
GAAACGCGAAAGGUAAUGCGAAUUGCAGAAUCAGUGAGUCAUCGAAUCUUUGAACGCACAUUGCGCCUCUCGGUAUUCCGGGAGGCACGCCUGUUCGAGCGCCAUUACAAACUCCAAGCGUGGCUUGAUGUUGGGCGAUGUCUUUUUGCGAGAGCGGAGACACGCCUGGAACGCGUUGGCGCCGCCGCCGGACCACGAGCGUAGCAAGACGAGAGUCAAUCGCAUCGAUUUGGAUUCCGACGGAGGUCCGCCAUGGGACUGCACUUUCGAGUGUAAGUCCACAACUUCUCAAGUUUGGCCUCGGAUCAGGCGGGGAUACCCGCUGAACUUAAGC